UCGUACAACCAAGGCGCGGAGGGCUGUCGCUGACUUUUGCCGUGCACGCCCGAAGCGCUCUCACACAAUAUCCAUCUCACCCAUUUGUGCAUCAUCGCGUGGGUCCUGCUUUUUGGCUCGUUCCAAGGAGGGGGGCUCGCAUUUUCACACAAAACACCCUUUUAAUGCAGUGUAGAAUGUUCUUGCGAUGACUCGCAAUAAAUA
rnacentral:misc_RNA from 1 species